UACGGAGGGUGCAAGCGUUGUUCAGAAUCAUUGGGCGUAAAGCGCGUGUAGGCGGCUUGGCAAGUCGGUUGUGAAAUCCCGGGGCCCAACCCCGGAACUGCAUUCGAAACUGCCUCGCUAGAGUCCCGGAGAGGAAGGCGGAAUUCCCGGUGUAGAGGUGAAAUUCGUAGAUAUCGGGAGGAACACCAGCGGCGAAGGCGGCCUUCUGGACGGUGACUGACGCUGAGACGCGAAAGCGUGGGGAGCAAACAGG
rnacentral:rRNA from 1 species